UCCGGUGCUUGGCGUUUGAAGAGUCGGAAUCCGUAGACCAAAAUGCCGGAUGGAAGCGACCACAAGCACCGGCUAUUUGCUCGGAAUCUUUUAUUUAUCCCCUCUUCCGCCGAAGAAGCAGAUUGGAACACACAAACACCCACCCAUCUUGCUUCCAUUCGAAGGCGCAAGAUCCCGGGAUGAUUCCAUUCGCCUCCCAGUCUCCCCAUCCAAUCUCGAUACGGUCCCGUAGGCGGUUGGGAUCGAGACGGGUUCCAGGAAACUGAAGUUGGAGGCCUUACUUGUCGUUCCCUGGCGUAAUUUUCUCAAGAGACACAUCAUUUCUCCAAUAAGGAAAAAGGCAUUUUCAGUCAUUAUUGUUCCCCUUAACAUCCACAGGCUUUGCAUGCUCCCUUCUCUGUUCCUUUUUUCGUUUAAAAAAAGGCAUACAAGUUUAGCUAUCAAUUCGUAACAUAGGGUAUCCCCAUUUUCAUAGCAGACUAUACUUAGCAAGAAGAACAGUGUUCUAUCUGUGAACCCACAUAAAGAUCAUUAUUUCACUUAGUAGCUUCAUCUUCCAGACGCCCGCAUUUUAAUUGUCUCCUCUUUUUAACAAGGGCAUGAUCUGCAGAUAUAGCUAUGAGGAUACCACAAUGUUCCUAUCUCCAUAUCACCUCAUCAAGGCCAUUCUUCAAAGUAGGCUGCAGCAGUAGAUCAAUUUCUUUUUUCUUUUUUCAAGUUGGCAUUGGUAAUGAACUGAAUAUUACUGUCAUAUCCUGUCAAUUAUUGUUUUUUUUCUGAACUAGGUCAGAGUUCAGCCUAAGGGAAUCUCAAGUUCUCAACCCCAGUGAUCAUCCAAGGACCUAGUUUUGAUAUAUGCAUAACAAACAGAAAGGAACAGAAGCACAUCGAAAACAUUAAGUAUCUGACUUCAUGCUUAUUCAGGGCAUUCAUUUGAGCAGUUUACUGACAGAACAUGAUUCCAUCAAGACCAGGAACAGUUAGUCGCAGAAACAGUAAGUUACAAGGAAUCAUAUGAGUUAUGACAUGCCAUAUCAGUUUUUCCCCAAGGGUGCUUCUUUUAGCUAAGUUGUCUGUUAUUGUGCUGAUUUCUCUCUGGAGAUAGGAGAAUAACAGUCGGGAACUGCCUAUAAAUUUGAUCAGCUUCAGUCAGGAUUGUCUAUAGACUCCAAGACUGCACUCAGUUUCAGAUGUGUCAUGUUCCACUGAUGCAGUUAGCUGUUGGAAGUCUGUGGGCAUCUAUUAAGUACAUUGAAGGGCAAGAUUCUAAGCAAUUCCAGGGUUUCAAGUUACUGUAGGUACUAUUUAUGUGGUUCUUGUGUAUGGCAGGUAGUAGAGCUUGGCCUCUCCUUGGCAUGAUGAGGAGGCAUAUUUAGCAGUAACCUGGAUUCGGAGGCAGAGAGCUGGAGACUGUAAGCUUCAAGAUAACACUAGCUGUGAGUUGCUCUAACUGUUGUUUCGAUGAUAUGGGAUUGGGGUAAUUUGCUUAUGGGAUUUGUUUGCUAUACCUCGUAAUUUCAUUCCUCUUACGAAUAAAAACUCAUUUGUAUCUA